ACCUACGGGAGGCAGCAGUAGGGAAUUUUCGUCAAUGGGCGCAAGCCUGAACGAGCAAUGCCGCGUGAACGAGGAAGGUCUUCGGAUCGUAAAGUUCUGUUGAAGGGGAAAAAGAGCGGAGAGAGGAAAUGGUCUCCGAUUGAUAUUACCCUUCGAGGAAGUCACGGCUAACUACGUGCCAGCAGCCGCGGUAAUACGUAGGUGGCGAGCGUUAUCCGGAAUGAUUGGGCGUAAAGGGUGCGUAGGCGGCCUACUAAGUCUGGAGUGAAAGGUACCGGCUCAACCGGUACAGGCUCUGGAAACUG
rnacentral:rRNA from 1 species